CCUACGGGAGGCAGUGGGGAAUAUUGGACAAUGGGCGAAAGCCUGAUCCAGCCAUGCCGCGUGUGUGAAGAAGGCCUUCGGGUUGUAAAGCACUUUCAGUGGGGAAGAAAGCCUUGGGGCUAAUACCCUCGAGGAAGGACAUCACCCACAGAAGAAGCACCGGCUAACUCCGUGCCAGCAGCCGCGGUAAUACGGAGGGUGCGAGCGUUAAUCGGAAUUACUGGGCGUAAAGCGCGCGUAGGCGGUCUGAUAAGCCGGUUGUGAAAGCCCCGGGCUCAACCUGGGAACGGCAUCCGGAACUGUCAGGCUAGAGUGCAGGAGAGGAAGGUAGAAUUCCCGGUGUAGCGGUGAAAUGCGUAGAGAUCGGGAGGAAUACCAGUGGCGAAGGCGGCCUUCUGGACUGACACUGACGCUGAGGUGCGAAAGCGUGGGUAGCAAACAGGAUUAGAUACCCGGGUAGUC
rnacentral:rRNA from 1 species